rnacentral:rRNA from 1 species
AAACGACUCUCGGCAACGGAUAUCUCGGCUCACGCAUCGAUGAAGAACGUAGCAAAAUGCGAUACUUGGUGUGAAUUGCAGAAUCCCGUGAACCAUUGAGUUUUUGAACGCAAGUUGCGCCCGAAGCCAUCCGGUUGAGGGCACGCCUGCCUGGGCGUCACGC